UUCCCCUUUUCCCUUYCCAGUGACCCGCGAAAYGUUCAAUUUGAAAUCUGGUGGUCCUUGACCGUCCSAGUUGUAAUCUAGAGAAGUGUUACCUGUGCUGGACCGUGUAAAAGUCUUCUGGAAUGAAGCAUCACAGAGGGUGAGAAUCCCGUCUUUGACACGGACUGCCUGUACAUUAUGGUGCGCUCUCGAAGAGUCGAGUUGUUUGGGAAUGCAGCUCAAAAUGGGUGGUAAAUGCCAUCUAAAGCUAAAUAUUGGCGAGAGACCGAUAGCGAACAAGUACCGUGAGGGAAAGAUGAAAAGAACUUUGGAAAGAGAGUUAAACAGUACGUGAAAUUGCUGAAAGGGAAACGCUUGAAGUCAGUCGCGUUGGCUAGAAAUCAGCCUUGCUUUUGCUUGGUGUACUUUCUGGUCUGACGGGUCAGCAUCAAUUUUGACCAUUGGAUAAAGUCGUGGGGAAUGUGGCAUCUUUGGAUGUGUUAUAGCCCUUCGUCGCAUACGGUGGUUGGGAUUGAGGAACUCAGCACGCCGCAAGGCCGGGUCUCGACCACGUUCGUGCUUAGGAUGCUGGCAUAAUGGCUUUAAUCGACCCGUCUUGAAACACGGACCAAGGAGUCUAACAUGCCUGCGAGUGUUUGGGUGGAAAACCCAUGCGCGCAAUGAAAGUGAAAGUUGAGAUCCCUCUCUAUGAAGGGGGGAGCAUUGACGCCCGGACCAGACCUUUUGCGAAGGAUCCGCGGUAGAGCAUGUAUGUUGGGACCCGAAAGAUGGUGAACUAUGCCYGAAUAGGGUGAAUCCAGACGACACUCUGGCGGAGGCUCG
rnacentral:rRNA from 1 species